CACGUAGGGGGCUAGCGUUAUCCGGAAUUACUGGGCGUGAAGGGUGCGUAGGUGGUUUCUUAAGUCAGAGGUGAAAGGCUACGGCUCAACCGUAGUAAGCCUUUGAAACUGAGAAACUUGAGUGCAGGAGAGGAGAGUGGAAUUCCUAGUGUAGCGGUGAAAUGCGUAGAUAUUAGGAGGAAUACCAGUUGCGAAGGCGGCUCUCUGGACUGUAACUGACACUGAGGCACGAAAGCGUGGGGAGCAAACAGGAUUAGAUACCCUGGUAGUCCCU
rnacentral:rRNA from 1 species